GACGAACGCUGGCGGCGUGCUUAACACAUGCAAGUCGAACGGAAAGGCCCUGCUUUUGUGGGGUGCUCGAGUGGCGAACGGGUGAGUAACACGUGAGUAACCUGCCCUUGACUUUGGGAUAACUUCAGGAAACUGGGGCUAAUACCGUAUAGGAGCUCCUGCUGCAUGGUGGGGGUUGGAAAGUUUCGGCGGUUGGGGAUGGACUCGCAGCUUAUCAGCUUGUUGGUGGGGUAGUGGCUUACCAAGGCUUUGACGGGUAGCCGGCCUGAGAGGGUGACCGGCCACAUUGGGACUGAGAUACGGCCCAGACUCCUACGGGAGGCAGCAGUGGGGAAUAUUGCACAAUGGGCGGAAGCCUGAUGCAGCAACGCCGCGUGCGGGAUGACGGCCUUCGGGUUGUAAACCGCUUUCGCCUGUGACGAAGCGUGAGUGACGGUAAUGGGUAAAGAAGCACCGGCUAACUACGUG
rnacentral:rRNA from 1 species